rnacentral:rRNA from 1 species
UGGCGAACGGGUGAGUAACGCGUGAGGAACCUGCCUCAAAGAGGGGGACAACAGUUGGAAACGACUGCUAAUACCGCAUAAGCCCACGGCCCGGCAUCGGGAAGAGGGAAAAGGAGCAAUCCGCUUUGAGAUGGCCUCGCGUCCGAUUAGCUAGUUGGUGAGGUAACGGCCCACCAAGGCAACGAUCGGUAGCCGGACUGAGAGGUUGAACGGCCACAUUGGGACUGAGGCACGGCCCAA